rnacentral:tRNA from 1 species
GCCCGGAUGGCGAAAUUGGUAUACGCAGCAGACUCAAAAUCUGCCGCCCUCUAAAGGCUUGUCGGUUCGAGUCCGACUCCGGGCACCA